GGGUCCUUAGCUCAGUUGGUAGAGCGCCUGCUUUGCAAGCAGGAUGUCGGGAGUUCGAUUCUCCCAGGAUCCACCA
rnacentral:tRNA from 3 species